GCCAAGAUGGCCGAAUAGGAACAGCUCCGGUCUACAGCUCCCAGCGUGAGCGACGCAGAAGACGGGUGAUUUCUGCAUUUCCAUCUGAGGUGUGGGAUCUCACUCUGUCACCCACGCUGGAGUGCAGUGGCAGAUCAUAACUCACUGCAGCCUCCAACUCCUGGACUCAAGCGAUCCUCCCGCCUCAGCAUCCCAACAUCUGCUGAAAAAAUCAGAAGAUUCAGCAAUACUGAGCCCACCACCCCAAAUGAAAAAAAUCCUCCUGGCUCCAGGAUGAAGUAACUGCUUCAUCAGAAGCCCUUCAGAAGAACACACA